AUGAUUUGAAAUUAAAUAGCCGCAGUAUUUUGACUGUGCUAAGGUAGCAUAAUCAAUUGUUUUUUAAUUAAGAACUGGAAUGAAGGAAUUGAUGAGAUUAAAACUGUCUAAUAUAAAAUGUUAAAAUUUAAAUUUUAAGUAAUAAUUCUUAAAUAAAGUUAUGGGACGAGAAGACCCUAUAGAAUUUGAUAUAAUUUUUUAAAAUAAGUAUAAAAUAAUAUUUAAUAAAAUUAAUAUUUUAUUGGGAGGAUAAUUAAAUUAAAUUAACUUUAAGAUUAAAAUUAAACAUUAAUUUAUGAUAAUAGUUGAAUAAUUUUAUAAUAAUAAUUAAAAUUAAUUAAAAAUUAAUUACCUUAGGGAUAACAGCGUAAUAUUUUUAAAAAGAUCAUAUUGAUAAAAGU
rnacentral:rRNA from 1 species